rnacentral:rRNA from 1 species
CAGUAGCCGCGGGAAUACGAAGGGUGCAAGCGUUACUCGGAAUUACUGGGCGUAAAGCGUGCGUAGGUGGUGGUUUAAGUCCGUUGUGAAAGCCCUGGGCUCAACCUGGGAAUUGCAGUGGAUACUGGGUCACUAGAGUGUGGUAGAGGAUAGUGGAAUUUCCGGUGUAGCAGUGAAAUGCGUAGAGAUCGGGAGGAACAUCUGUGGCGAAGGCGACUAUCUGGGCCAACACUGACACUGAGGCACGAAAGCGUGGGGAGCAAACAGGAUUAGAUACCCGAGUAGUCCCUGUCUCUUAUAC